rnacentral:lncRNA from 13 species
AAAAAUACAGUUUUAUAUCUUUAUGUUUGAAGCCUGAAAUGUGGCAAAAGGUCGCAAAGUUCAAGGGGGCCGAAUACUUUCGCAAGGCACUGUUUAAAGUAAGUUGAAAAUAUGAUGGAGCAAUGUAUUCUUAAAUAAGAUAAUAUUUGAGAACUAAGAUUAACCAAAAUAAAAACUAGACAGUCAGGGAGAUUAAAAAUUCCAAAAAUGGCAUGGGGCCCGCAUUGACUUUGUUAUGAUGUUUGAGUCACUCGGAUAGUACAAAAAUGUAUGCACUCACUACUUACUGUAAGUCGCUCUGGAUAAGAAUAUCUGCAAAAUGACAAAAUUGUAAAUAGCAUAAGAACAUGACAUAAACCAUGGGAAAAUGUGUAGAAUUGCAGGAAAUUUGCUUUAAAACUUCACAUUUUCUCUACUCCCAUGGCAAAAUGUGUAGAAUUGCAGGAAAUUAGCUUUGAAACUGCAGUUUUUCUCUCAACACCAUCACAAAAAUGUGUAGAAUUGCAAGAAAUUAGCUCUGAAACGGCAAAAUGUUGGCACCAAAAACCAUGCAAUUGGCCACGCCUACUACCAUCCUAGGGAAAACACUGUUCUGGGUAUCUUGGUUAACUAUUUUAGUUUCCUUUUAAAUGCCCUGUUACCUACUUUGCCCCAUUCAUUUCAUCUAGCCUAUAGGCCUAGUUAUGGAAUUUAAGAAUUUUCGCCAGCCUCAAGAUGGACGAAAAGGAGAUGGCCACGGGUCAACAACAAGAAAGGACAGCUUGUCCGAGAGUGACGUCAAUCCGCAUGUGACCCCAGACUGCCAUCAUCUGUCCAUUCAGGGAGACAACGCAGGUGGAAACAACACAGAUGGACAAGGAAGGGACUUCAUGAAUCAAGGAGGGGGAGAAAAGGCUAAAUGCAACAAUGACUGAAGAGGAGUCUCUGAUCUCAAUACUCUGCUAUGCUCUAAGACACACAACCACCAAGAUCGCUCUCAGUGAUUUUUUUUGGACAUGAUACAGUACAUCUCCAUUGUCCAGAACUGACAAGCG